CUGUUGGAGAUGGUCAGAAGACUGCAGACUACCAUGGCGAGAUGAAUGGGGAAACUUUCUUGAUGUGGUUUGAAGACAUGUUGGUGCAUCUUGAGGAACCCAGUGUCAUCAUAAUGGACAAUGCUUCAUAUCACAGCACCCAGAUGGGCGAGGUGUGUGGAUCACGUGGAGAAGCUAAUUCAAGCAGACUGGGAGAGAGAAGUCCACAUAGACAGCGGCACCAUUCCUCCACUCAUCAUCCACCUCGGCGAGGAUAGUUCAAGUGAAGACAGUGACAGCGAAGAAUUUGAGGUUACGACACAGCAAGUAGAUGGAGACAGUGAAGUACUGGCAGUUCCUCUUGAUGAUUUACCCGGGUGUUCUUAUUGAGGUCUGUAUGUAAUAAACACCUGGGCAACUGUAAGUAUUGGGGUUUGAAACAUUUUUUUUUUCUUUUAUGCAUUCCCAUUAAGUAUGUUGAUUACUGGAACUUUAUGUAUUAACUUUAUAUUACACAUAUUAUGAAAUUAAUAAUAAAUUUCAUUUCUGGAUUCGUAUAGGUGUAUGUGAAACAUUUUAUUUUGUUGUGUGUCUUCAUUUUUCAGUGAACUUACUUGGAAAACAAAAAGCCAGUCCCCAUCCAGGGCCACAAAUAAAUA